GGUCUAUGUAAGUGGACUUGAAUUGAUUCAUGUUAUAAACAUCAGGCAGUUCCAAUUAUAUUCUUGGUUUGGCCUGUGGAGUGAAGAGAGUGAUAUCAUAGAGUGCCAGAGAAUGCUGGGAUGAGAAGUGAAGAGGAAGACAGGUGGGAGGGAGCCCGUCCUUGGCAGAUGAGCAGUGUCUGGCCCUGUCGUGGGAAAAUAAAUGUCCUUCUGGGCCAUGGAAACAGUGAGUGCAAACGCAGAGGAUGUGAAAGGCUGCUGAGUUUUACAAAAUCUUCGGAAACCGUUUGGUCACAGAAGGUAAUCAGAUCUGGAUGACGAGUGUUAGAAAGCAUUCCUAGGAAAGCAGAAUUUAUCUUGGGGAGAAGCGCAGAGCAUUUUCUCCUUCAAAACCAAGGGCAAUCUGACAUUCUCUGUAUUUUGGGAAGUACCUGACUUCCCUGAGGAGUUAAGAUCAGGGCCAGAGUCCAGAAAGAAGACAUCAGGACCAACUUCAGGGUUCUUACAGGAGACAAGCGGCUGUUUGGUGUUUUUCCCAACUGAGACUGGCCUCAACGUGAUGCCAGUUGCUAUCAGUCCUUUCUUUAUAUUUUCUAGGUGUCGAAAACUUUUGGAGUGGGGAGAAGAACGUUCGUGGUGCACAGAACACGACUUUUCAUCAUUUUCUGCUCUAUUACUAUUUUCAGUCAUCUUUGAUCAGAAUGGCACCUGUGCCCCAUACCCACUGGAGACUGUGGAAAUCUGGAGGGAGCAACCUUGGUGAUUCUGCCCCAAGAGAAGGGAUUCUCUGGAGCUCUGGACAACAUCCUGGGACUAAGAUGGACAGUGGGAGUAUUGCAGCUUGGAGAGGAUAAUAUUUAAGCAUUCAGGUUCUAGAAACCCCAUUUCCUAGGGAACCAAGCUGACACUGGAGCAGUAGUGCUGUGGCUGAGCUGCUGGCACAGAGAUACACAGCCAAGUCCCCCUGCUGUGUGCGCUGGAACUUCAGAGUGGAGAUGGAUCCCUCAGACCUCU
rnacentral:lncRNA from 1 species